UAGGCGGGGUAACGGCCCACCUAGGCAACGAUGGGUAGCCGAGCUGAGAGGCUGAACGGCCACACUGGGACUGAGACACGGCCCAGACUCCUACGGGAGGCAGCAGUGGGGAAUAUUGCGCAAUGGGGGAAACCCUGACGCAGCAACGCCGCGUGAAGGAUGAAGGCUUUCGGGUUGUAAACUUCUUUGACAGGGGACGAAGGAAGUGACGGUACCCUGAAAACAAGCCACGGCUAACUACGUGCCAGCAGCCGCGGUAAUACGUAGGGGGCGAGCGUUGUCCGGAAUUACUGGGCGUAAAGGGUGCGUAGGUGGCCUUUUAAGUUGGAAGUGAAAACUCCGGGCUCAACUCGGAUACGGCUCCUGAAACUGGCAGACUUGAGUGCAAAAGAGGGAAGUGGAAUUCCUAGUGUAGCGGUGAAAUGCGUAGAUAUUAGGAGGAACACCAGUGGCGAAGGCGACUUCCUGGCUUGUAACUGACACUGAGGCGCGAAAGCGUGGGGAUCAAACAGGAUUAGAUACCCUGGUAGUCCACGCCGUAAACGAUGAGUGCUAGGUGUCGGGGGUAUCGACCCCCUCGGUGCCACAGCUAACGCAAUAAGCACUCCGCCUGGGGAGUACGGUCGCAAGACUGAAACUCAAAGGAAUUGACGGGGGCCCGCACAAGCGGUGGAGUAUGUGGUUUAAUUCGACGCAACGCGAAGAACCUUACCAAGGCUUGACAUCCCGUGACAGCUGUGGAAACACAGUCUUGCCUUCGGGUGAACACGGAGACAGGUGGUGCAUGGUUGUCGUCAGCUCGUGUCGUGAGAUGUUGGGUUAAGUCCCGCAACGAGCGCAACCCCUACAGCUAGUUGCCAGCACAUAAAGGUGGGAACUCUAGCAGAACUGCCGUUGACAAAACGGAGGAAGGUGGGGAUGACGUCAAAUCAUCAUGCCCCUUAUGUCUUGGGCUACACACGUACUACAAUGGCCUGAACAGAGGGAAGCGAAACUGCGAAGUUAAGCGAACCCCUCAAAUGUAGUCCCAGUUCGGAUCGUGGGCUGCAACCCGCCCACGUGACGUCGGGGUUGCUAGUAAUCGCGGAUCAGCAUGCCGCGGUGAGUACGUUCCCGGGCCUUGUACACACCGCCCGUCAAACCAUGGGAGUUGGGAGCACCCAAAGCCAGCGAGGUAACCGCAAGGAGCCAGCUGUCCAAGGUGAGACCAAUGACUGGGGUGAAGUCGUAACAAGGUAACC
rnacentral:rRNA from 1 species